AAUGAACUUUCAUGGCCUCCACCAUUUCUGAAAAUGUCAAUAACAUGUCACAACUCAUGAACUUGGAGCUUUGAGAAAAUUUCCACAUCCGAAGUUGUGAAUUACCACAAGAUGGGGGUGUUCAUAUGGAUUCUUCUUGUGAACAUGAUAAACACGAUGUAAACAUGAUGAAGGCAGCAUUCAAUACAUAUGCAGUUAGACGAUGAAACGCUGGCAGACUAGACACAUCACAGAGACUGGGUACAUGGCUAAAUGCACUGUCUGGGAUGGAUAUUAAAGAGAACCAAUGCAUGUGAUGAAGAAAGAAAGGGGUGUAGUCAUGUCAGGAGGGCUUUUGGCUGUGUGACGGUGGAGGGUGGUGCCAGGCCAGGUGAGGUAACCAGCUCCUGAAGAAAGGUAAAAAGCAUGGGGCAGGUUUAGGUUGGAUUGUUGUCACAUCAGAGGUUUGCAGACACUUCUGUCUUUGUGCUGAAUUCUGUGGAGUGGAGCAGAGACAGCUGUAGAGGACCCUGUAGCUGUGUUGACUCCAGUUCCAACCCCAGUAGGAACAUCAGUGGGUGGGAACUUGACAGAGCCAGCGCCAGGGAGUUAAUACCACUCAGUGCUGCUGGAGGUGUGACAUAGUCCCAGCCCUCUACACAUUGAUUCACACAGGAUUAAGCCACUGCAUGAUGCUUCAGGCGGAAGGCCUGGCACAGCUGAUUUACCGUGCCUGUCAGACUUAACGUCUUUGGAGGCCUCCUCUGCCCUGCUCCUGCUGUCUUCUACAGAAAGACUAGUAAAAAGUGUUUCCCACCGCACCAACAAGAUCACCCAAAGGGAUGACUGGCAGUCAUCUUGCUCAGGUCUAUGACAGGAUGCAACUCCGGUCUGCAUGAAAGGAGUAAGAGAGGAAGCAAUGGGCUGGACUAUGACUCUGAAAGAUGACUUUGGGGUCAUUGCCUGGACACGGCGAGCUGGGAACUACCUCAGCCUCUUCUUCCUCUUGUCUCUCUUUUCCAUUCCAGUCCAACCAGACAUUGUGUUUCCUAAGGACCAUCAUUUCUCAUGGAAAACAGGGAAAACCGAGGGACUGUACCAAUCUGUAUCACAAUGCUUUGAAGUUAACAACAUCUUCGAAUCUAACAACACAAACUUCAGUUGGAAGAUGAAACGUGUUGUGUUAUGAGGACGUAUUUGGUGAAGUUGGGUUUAAAUGACUAAGCCUUCCACAUCUGUCUCAAAUUCAGCAUCUAUGAAGCAGCUCCGGGCUUUAUGUCACAAGUCUGAGUAUUACUUUCAUGUUGGCAAAUAUUGAUUUAACUUCCCCAGACCACAGACAUGAUAUAUUUGAAUACUUAAUUUGGCUGACAAGCUCCCUUUUAAUUUUGGACUUGUCAAUGUAGGGAAGAUGUGCUCUAAAUUAUGCAUAGCCACCCUAUUGUGUGUUUGGUGUGUCUAUCUAGGCCAGCAGCAUUGUGGGAUAAAUCUUUUGUGGGAGCCAGUUCCCAGAACUGUGGCUAAGCUGGGAGUCUCUGGCUCAAACAGAGAGCUGGAGCCAUUUAAGCUUGACCUUCAUCAGUGUCUUGGAGAGCAGAAUAAAGCACUGAAACACUGCAGCUAAUGGCACAAUUUAACUCUUUAAUUCUCUUUAUUUAACCCUUUAAAGUGACUGUUCAAAGAAAAUCCCCUUUAAACUGCCACACUUGCCCUUUUAACAGGAUGCUACAUGUUCACCAAUAACUUGCAGUGUGUUGAAAAGCAGUGCACUCAGAAUAGAACAUGAGAUGGUAAUCGGAGUUAACAAUCACCAUGUAAGCCUGUAAGGGGUUUUCUCUACAACAGAAGGUAGCAAUCAGUUCCCUGUAUGUCUCUGAUAUCCAAUUAUGUGUGAUAAAAUGAUAGGAGUAAUCACAUAUAAUAAGGACUGGAUGUUAACUGUUUCCCAUUGCAAACACCCUCGCAACACAUCACUGUGCGGUCACAGCAGUGAUUUGCAUUGCACUGUGUGUGGUUUGUUUUAUUUCAUUACAUUAGAGUUGCUGCCCUGUUGCAGAUUGCAUAUAACUAGUUUAUGUGUUGGGGGAAUUUAUUUUAGAAUAUAAUUGCACAAGUGAAAUUUUGCAUUUUAUAGCUUUUGCCACCUGAACUCUUGAGAAUGCCUCUCAAAUUUUGUUCGAGUGAUUAUAUAAAGUCCUGUUAUAGCUUCAGAAUGCUGAUAUCCUCCAAAACAGAGCUAUUAAAUUGGAUUUAUUUUGACUCCCAUAAGCAUCUGCAUUAAAACACGACAGCGAGACACUGUGCUCAUCCAGUGUCAGCUUUAGUCUGCUGAAGAAGUAAGAUCUUCUCUCAAGGGUUUUCAUUUUUCAUCUUUGAGAUUAGAAUAAUUUUUUUGUAGAAGGUCUUGAAAAUGCUGGGAUUCCUCUAUCAGAAGUUAUUGUUCUUUCUUACAGCCUAAACAGGCAAAGAGCUGCUUUAUUCUUACGUACAAGGGAGAGCUCAUCCCAGAUGGGGCUGUAGUGUGCAUCAAAGGUCUGCUCAUUUCUAAAAAAAAAAAAAAAAACCAAAACACACCUUUAUUAAAGUUUUUUAUUUUGCGUUUUUGACUAGGGAAUCCACAUAGUUUGGAAAGUUAAAUAUCUGUAUCUCUAGGGAGAAAAACGUGAUAAUACUACAUCAUUUUAACAAUACAUUAGAGUGUAGUAGUGUAGUGUAAUGUACAGUAUUGAGACUGAUUGAGUAAAAUAAUGCAUUUGUAUUUUACUAGCGACUAUGUAUUUCCUCGUUUAUGGUCACUUGUUUCAUUCAUUCAUUUCUUCCUUUUUUGGCUGUAAAAAUAUUGUUCUAUGUAGUCCUGCCAGGGUCCUCAGGAGAACUGAAUUACACAGCCUGUCUACUGUUCAUCUAAAUUAUGUGGGAACUUUCAGUUGUAACA